rnacentral:rRNA from 1 species
GACGAACGCUGGCGGCGUGCUUAACACAUGCAAGUCGAACGGAAAGGCCUGCUUUCCCUUGUGGAUUGCGGGUACUCGAGUGGCGAACGGGUGAGUAACACGUGAGUGAUCUGCCCCCAACUUGGGUAUAAGCCUGGGAAACUGGGUCUAAUUCCCGAUAGGACUGCAGGGUGGUGCCUGUGGUGGAAAACGAUUUUCUAGUGGUUGGGGAUGAGCUCGCGGCCUAUCAGCUUGUUGGUGGGGUAAUGGCCUACCAAGGCGGCGACGGGUGGCCGGCCUGAGAGGGUGGACGGCCACAUUGGGACUGAGAUACGGCCCAGACUCCUACGGGAGGCAGCAGUGGGGAAUAUUGCACAAUGGGCGGAAGCCUGAUGCAGCGACGCCGCGUGGGGGAUGACGGCCUUCGGGUUGUAAACUCCUUUCGACCGCGAGGAAGCCACCUGGUUGGAAGGGUGGUGACGGUAGUGGUAGAAGAAGCACCGGCUAACUACGUG